UACGUAGGGGGCUAGCGUUGUCCGGAAUCAUUGGGCGUAAAGAGCGUGUAGGCGGCCCGGUAAGUCCGCUGUGAAAGUCCAGGGCUCAACCCUGGGAUGCCGGUGGAUACUGUCGGGCUCGAGUCCGGAAGAGGAGUGUGGAAUUCCUGGUGUAGCGGUGAAAUGCGCAGAUAUCAGGAGGAACACCAAUGGCGAAGGCAGCACUCUGGGACGUGACUGACGCUGAGACGCGAAAGCGUGGGGAGCAAAUAGG
rnacentral:rRNA from 1 species